GUCAGCUCAGUCUGUAGAUCAUGAGACUCUUACUCUCAGGGUUGUGGGUUUGAACCCCGUGUUGGGCA